rnacentral:rRNA from 1 species
GGGGCCUUAUUCAUUGCAAGUAGAACGCUGAAGAGAGGAGCUUGCUCUUCUUGGAUGAGUUGCGAACGGGUGAGUAACGCGUAGGUAACCUGCCUUGUAGCGGGGGAUAACUAUUGGAAACGAUAGCUAAUACCGCAUAACAAUGGAUGACACAUGUCAUUUAUUUGAAAGGGGCAAUUGCUCCACUACAAGAUGGACCUGCGUUGUAUUAGCUAGUAGGUGAGGUAACGGCUCACCUAGGCGACGAUACAUAGCCGACCUGAGAGGGUGAUCGGCCACACUGGGACUGAGACACGGCCCAGACUCCUACGGGAGGCAGCAGUAGGGAAUCUUCGGCAAUGGGGGCAACCCUGACCGAGCAACGCCGCGUGAGUGAAGAAGGUUUUCGGAUCGUAAAGCUCUGUUGUAAGUCAAGAACGAGUGUGAGAGUGGAAAGUUCACACUGUGACGGUAGCUUACCAGAAAGGGACGGCUAACUACGUGCCAGCAGCCGCGGUAAUACGUAGGUCCCGAGCGUUGUCCGGAUUUAUUGGGCGUAAAGCGAGCGCAGGCGGUUUGAUAAGUCUGAAGUUAAAGGCUGUGGCUCAACCAUAGUUCGCUUUGGAAACUGUCAAACUUGAGUGCAGAAGGGGAGAGUGGAAUUCCAUGUGUAGCGGUGAAAUGCGUAGAUAUAUGGAGGAACACCGGUGGCGAAAGCGGCUCUCUGGUCUGUAACUGACGCUGAGGCUCGAAAGCGUGGGGAGCGAACAGGAUUAGAUACCCUGGUAGUCCACGCCGUAAACGAUGAGUGCUAGGUGUUGGAUCCUUUCCGGGAUUCAGUGCCGCAGCUAACGCAUUAAGCACUCCGCCUGGGGAGUACGACCGCAAGGUUGAAACUCAAAGGAAUUGACGGGGGCCCGCACAAGCGGUGGAGCAUGUGGUUUAAUUCGAAGCAACGCGAAGAACCUUACCAGGUCUUGACAUCCCGAUGCUAUUUCUAGAGAUAGAAAGUUACUUCGGUACAUCGGUGACAGGUGGUGCAUGGUUGUCGUCAGCUCGUGUCGUGAGAUGUUGGGUUAAGUCCCGCAACGAGCGCAACCCCUAUUGUUAGUUGCCAUCAUUCAGUUGGGCACUCUAGCGAGACUGCCGGUAAUAAACCGGAGGAAGGUGGGGAUGACGUCAAAUCAUCAUGCCCCUUAUGACCUGGGCUACACACGUGCUACAAUGGUUGGUACAACGAGUUGCGAGUCGGUGACGGCAAGCUAAUCUCUUAAAGCCAAUCUCAGUUCGGAUUGUAGGCUGCAACUCGCCUACAUGAAGUCGGAAUCGCUAGUAAUCGCGGAUCAGCACGCCGCGGUGAAUACGUUCCCGGGCCUUGUACACACCGCCCGUCACACCACGAGAGUUUGUAUCACCAAAAAGUCGGUGGACGACAACCAGGUCUUUUC